AUGGAGCAUAUAUACUCCACUAAGGUAUAUACUCCGCUAACUUUUAAGGGAUGCAAUCGUCUUGUUAUUAACUUGGACAAUAUGGAAUUGAUUGACACAAUGAAGAAUGGAGGACACUCGGCAGGAGCGGCGGCUGCAGUCUUCGAUGAUUUUUAUCUUUUGGCUUCUGAUUUUUCCCUUCAUAGUUUUGAACAUUGUACUAGGGAAGAAAAUAAGGUAGCUCAUAAAAUUGCUAGGCUAGCAAAAUUUAAAAUGGAUUGGUUCGAGGAGCCAAUGAAUGAUAUUAUACCUUUUCUUGCAGACGAUGUAACGAUUAUCUCUAACCAAUAA
rnacentral:rRNA from 1 species